AUGUCUCUUACAGAUGUUCAAAUAUUUGUCUUCCAAGUGUCCAUACAUCACAUUGGUGCACCACACUUUUGUGGCUUUGUCUCUCUGCGGUGUCUAAUCUGUAUCCAAACAGCCUCAUCUGUUUGUGAGUUUAGACUACAGACCAAAAUGUUUAUGAAAAUGAUGAUGUGACAAGGGAAGUUUGCUCUGCUUAAUUAUGAUGAACCCUUCGGGGUGGCCCAGUGGUUUGAGUUUGGAUUUUCCAUGCGGGAGGUCUCAAGUUCGAAACUCCUUGCCAGGGAAAGCAAGGGGUUUGCCUUUUGGGUCGAGCUUGUCGCUCCAGGCUUGUCUAGUGCGGUUACCUCUCCUAUGUGGUUACCUCUCCUAUGUGGUUUGCGAGUUAUUGCAUAGGAGUGGGGGUUCUACCCUGUGCGCAUACAAAGGGUAGCGGCUGCGGGUUUCCCU